UACGAAGGUCCCAAGCGUUAUCCGGAUUUAUUGGGUUUAAAGGGUGCGUAGGCGGCUUAUUAAGUCAGUGGUGAAAGCCCCAAGCUUAACUUGGGAACUGCCAUUGAUACUGAUGAGCUUGUGUAGAUUUGAGGCGGGCGGAAUGUGUCGUGUAGCGGUGAAAUGCUUAGAUAUGACACAGAACACCAAUUGCGUAGGCAGCUCGCUAAACUCUUACUGACGCUGAGGCACGAAAGCAUGGGGAUCAAACAGG
rnacentral:rRNA from 1 species